rnacentral:rRNA from 1 species
CAGCAGCCGCGGUAAUACGAAGGGGGCUAGCGUUGUUCGGAAUUACUGGGCGUAAAGCGCACGUAGGCGGAUUGUUAAGUGAGGGGUGAAAUCCCAGGGCUCAACCCUGGAACUGCCUCUCAUACUGGCGAUCUCGAGUCCGGAAGAGGUGAGUGGAAUUCCGAGUGUAGAGGUGAAAUUCGUAGAUAUUCGGAGGAACACCAGUGGCGAAGGCGGCUCACUGGUCCGGUACUGACGCUGAGGUGCGAAAGCGUGGGGAGCAAACGGGACUAGAUACCCUGGUAGUCCACGCCGUAAACGAUGGAAGCUAGCCGUUGGCAGGUUUACCUGUCGGUGGCGCAGCUAACGCAUUAAGCUUCCCGCCUGGGGAGUACGGUCGCAAGAUUAAAACUCAAAGGAAUUGACGG